GAUCUAGGGGUUCUUGCACACCUCAGCGUGGAGUUCGAAUGCCAUCACAGUCCGGGAGCAGAAAAGAUCGGGCAUCCUCAUCCAGAUCUAGGGGUUCUCUCACACCUCAGCGUGGAGUUCGAAUGACAUCACAGUCCAGGAGCGGAAGCUUAUUCCCCAUGUCUCAAGCUAGCUUUUCACCAACAGCCUAAUGGCAUCUUUCAACAUGAAGGGGCGGGGUAGCAGAGAGAAAAAAGCCUUCCAGGAUACCACUUUUUACUCUGUGGUAAAAGCUGCAGUAAUGAAGUGGAGUAAAACUGCCACAGAAGUUGAAAUCAGGGCUGCUAUGGCUGAGACACUUCAACAUGCUCCCGGGAGAGCUGGAGGUGGAGGUCGCAAAGUGUGAACAUUUGUA